rnacentral:lncRNA from 1 species
AACUUUCUCUUCCUGAGAUUGGAGGCAACAGCUGCGAUGCUGAAGGGGCAGAAAAGAUUCUCGCCCUCAUCCCCAGUCCCAUGACUGGAAACCUUGGGCAAGUCACUUGCCCCCUCUGGGAAGAAAGACACUGCUAGAUGCUGGCAGUACAGCAGUGAAUAAGACAGACACCGUCCUGGUCCUCGUGGACUUAAAAUCCAGUGGAAAAGAUGAACAUCACACAAAUACUUGUGAUGCGUCCCAGGCAAAUAAAAGCAGAGGGAGCCAUGAGAUCGUGCGCCUGGGGAACCCCUACACGCGGUGUGGAGGUUCCCAGAGAGAUACCUCAGACUUGAAGGGUGAGAAAGGGUUGGCCAAGGGUUCAAGUGAAGAAAGGAAUGUGGAACAAAAAAGAUUUCUGGCAGAGGAAACAGCAUGGGAGAAGAUGUGAAACAGGAAGACAGCCCAGCAUGGGCAGAGGGAGAAGAGAGAAUAUGAAGAAGGGUGAGGUAAGAAGGUGGCCCAGGGCAGACCUGGCAUGUUAAGACUUUUGGACUUUAUCCUAUUGGCAAUGGGAAGUCUUCAAAGGAUAUAUUAGGUUUUGUUUUGUUUGUUUGUUUGUUUGUUUUUCUUUUGUAUUUUUAGGGCUGCACCCAAGCCUGGGAACCUCCAUAUGCCGCAAGUGAGGCCCUAAAAAGAAAACAACAACAACAACAAAAAGAAGAUGAAGAGGGAGUGGAGAAGGGACUAAGACUUAUUUAGGACUUCCUGUGUGUCAGAUACCUCAUUAAGUAAUUCACAAGCAUGACCUUGUUUAAUCCUCACAGCAGCCCUAUACAGUAGAGCCUGUUCUUAGCUCCUUUUAUUAUAGAUGGACAUAGCGGAACCUAGGUUCAGAAGUCCCCUCAACCAGGGAGUUCCCGUUGUGGCACAGCAGAAACAAAUCUGACUAGUAUCCAUGAGCGUGUGGGUUCGAUCCCUGGCAUCACUCAGUAGGUUAAGGAUCUGGCACUGCUUCGAGCCACGGUGUAGGUCAUAGAUGCAGCUCGGAUCCCAUGUUGCUGUGGCCAUGGUAUAGGCUGGCAGCUAUAGCUUUGAUCUGACCCCUAAACUGAAGGGUCAAAAAAAAAUUACUGAGAGUGUGUGUUUGGUUAAUUUAGUUCCUCCCUUUAGUGGAAGACAGGGAUUGGGUCAACGUCAUUCUCUCAGAUUCCAUAUGCCACACCUGCAGUCCUAAAAAU